rnacentral:rRNA from 1 species
GUUCCAAAUUGCUGUUUCAAUUCAGAUACAUGAACUUGGCAUGGCGCACAGAUCACAUCCUCUACCCUGACAGGCCUAAAUGCCCAUUCUAAUGACAGAUGAACAACAAAUAAAACAAAAACAGAGCAAUGAUACAGCAAUAGAACCCCCUGCCAUGAUAUUUGCUUGCUUUUGCAAAUCGAUCAUCUGCAUUAGAUGUUUCUUGAUCUUCUUCAGUUCCUCGGUCAGUUUGGACCCCGCAUGCAGUUCAUCAUUGCGCGCAUACAUCGCCAUCGGCACGACUCUGCCCGCCCCUCCGCCAAAGCUCCCCAUAUUCUCCAUAGCAAUCGGCGGCACCCCGCCCAAAUUGAGCUCCCAGGUUGCGGCCACGCUCAAAUCCUAUCAAACUAAAUCCUAUCAACAUAUUCAUCAAUCCACUUGAAAUGGUAACAUUUCUUCAGGAUCUGAAAACCACAAUAUGAACCCUAAAUCCCAAAUUCAAGGAGAAAAAACAAAAUAUGGAGAAAUCAGAGCAAAAGACAGCAAAAGAACGGGCUUAGAACUGAGAUCUAACCUUGCCAUCCCUUCCGGCCAUUGGUUUGCUCAAGCAUUUCACAAAUUCCCGUCCAAGAUUGCCAUUAUCAUCCUUCUUAGUGACCAACCGUUUAAGAGGCUCUGGGCAUGGGCAGUCAGGGCACCUUGUGAGCAGCAUUGGAUCAUACUGUCGCCAUUUUGAGUGCAUGGCGGAGGAGAUAGACAUUUGCGCUAGGUCGUCGGAGAAGAGAAAGAUUGGGGAAAGGGGCUGAAUGGGCGGCGGCGGGCGGACGGGUACGGGCGCUCGUCUCUUCUAGCUGCGAGGAGGUGGGUCCCGCGAGUAGACAAGUGGUGUGUCCCGCGCUUACGUGGAUUAGUGGUGGGUCCAGCCCCCAACAGCUAAUGAGGGCAUCAGUUGAGUUUAACAACCAUGUCAUGCAUGGGCUAUUUACCUGCUCAAAAUUGUCGCACCACAGCAAUUCGCUCGAACAACGUCGCACUCUUGCCAAUUCACCUCAAAUGUGUUGCACAGGAGCUAUAAGCCCAUAGUUAAUCGCACUUUGGGUCGUUCCCGAUCUGAAUUUUAAAAUUCACUUUGAGGGGCGGAGCAGGGGUUGUAUAUGCAAACUGCGCCGACGUGCUGAUGAACAGGUUGGGUCUAAACCAACAGUUCAGAAAAUCACCACGGCUUGGCAGGUUCUUAGUUUACUGACUUUAUAAUGAGAUGAGAUCACAAAGAACCCAAAUACUUCAGAGUGCAUGCGCACUAUCUAGGCAGAACGAGCGGCCGAACACAAGCCGCUCGAUCAGCCCAGAUCGUGCGGUCCUCGGCGUCAGGUCGUACCUGGUCAGGAGGUGACCAAACACGCACGUGGCUGGGCCCGCCCGCAAGCGCCGCUCUCCUGCUCCAGACGGUUUGCGUCGCGUAGGAAGCACCCUUGCCACGGGCCUCUGUCUACUUCCUCUCUUCUCGCCCUGUUCUUUCCCCAAAUCCGACGACGAGAGACAACCGCUGCCGCGACGCAGCCGAAGACGGGGGGCAGGGAAGGGGAAGGGCUGGAGCGCGGUGGGGACCCGCUUCUCGUCGCCGGCGUAGGUACGGUCGCCCAUUCGGCUGCUCCCUGCCCAACCAGAUCCAGCCCCAUCGUCCUUGUUCCCCGCCGUCGUCGACGGGAUGCGGCCGUCGUCUACUUCCUCUGCCCGAGGGAUGGAAACGUCGGCACUGGAGUCGUGGCCGUGGCGGGGAAGGCGAACCCAGCGCAGCUCUGCCAGUGGCUCAAGAGGAAGAUAAGCAAGGAUGUCAAGAUUUUCCGCCGUUGUCCAAACGGGCUGAGAAUUGUAAUAAGCAGGUAUGCAUCCCUCUUGUCUACUUGUACUGCAGAAUGAAGGACGAUGUGUGUAAUAUCCAAAUGAAUGCACGUUAUUACGAAGGGCUAGCCGUGUGGGGUUAAGGUGCUCGCCGGCGGCGACCUGCGUGGCUCUCGGCCUGCAUCCUCGCUGAACUCAACACCAACUAUCGCGCGCCCGCGAUGUGACUGCUGUUGCAACAACGACGGCCAACGGCUAUUGAACGACGAGGAUGCCCUUCGGGGGUUAUAGCAUGCAAAGCAAAGAAGUUGCUCGAUACUCACAGCCAAUAUAUCUCCCUGUAGAAGCAGAAGAAGCAGCAAUUGAUUCAUAAGCAACAAUUUUAUCUGUUUCGUUCCUUUGUAUUUUUGCCCUCUGUUUCUACUGAUUGUAUGUAUCACUUUUUCAGAUAUAUUGAUCUUCACAUUCUUAGUUGGCAUCCGUAGUGGUUGUAGUUGUACACAUAGCAGUUCUUGGUUGGAUACGACAAUUAGAAAGUUGCACAACACUAAACCUUUUUCCUACGGCGGUGAAAGUGGAACGGAAUACAUUGAACUGAAUACACAUGGUGAUCAUUUUUUUGGCAUUUAUAGUAAUUCUUGUUACACACAUAGUUGUUUUCGUCGGAGACGAUCAUUACUAUAGUAGUUGUAGUUGCACAUACAGUUGUUCUCAGUUGGAUCCUAUUAUUGAAAAAUUGCACACAUGGCAAUCAUUUUUUGUUUGCAUCUAUAGUAGUUCUAGUUGCACACAUAGUUGUUUUCAGUUGGACACGAUCAUUGGAAAAUUACACACACGGCGAUCAAUUUUGGGUGGCAUCUAUAGUCGUUCUAGUUGCACACAUAGUUGUUUUCAGUUGGAUACGGUCAUUGGAAAGCUGCACACACGGUGAUAAUUUUUUGUUGGCAUCUAUAGUAGUUCUAGUUGCAUACAUAGUUGUUUUCAGUUGGACACGGUCAUUGGAAGUAGUUGGCAGGGGCAAUAGAAGUAGUUGCACAGAAUCUGCUAGGCAAAACUUUAUGGUGGCGAAAGAUUCCUCUUAGUAAAUCUGCAGAGAAGAAAUGUGCGCGCGAAGGCAGUAUCCAAAGGGGUAGAUGCCACAUCUUCUGCAGCAGCCGCUGUGGUAACAUAAAGUUCUAUCAUGAAUACUUUUUACUCCACAUACAGGCAGCCAAGUGUAUGAAUUUUCAUACAUGGUUGCAGAAGGACUAAUUAAGCAUUGGCAUGCUCUACUUUCUCAGUUGCUCAACGUUGCCAUCUUCAAGUUUUUUAGAAUUGUCCCAAGAGUAUGUAACGACUUGGCAUCCUCUGGCUUUCUAGUUGCAGAAUAAUAUCUAAUUAGUUGGCAACCUCGGUAAUUCUAAUUGCACAACAAUAACUAGUUGACAUCCUCAUCUUCUCUAGUUGCACAAGAACUCAGAUUAGUUCCAUCUUAAAAAAAAUGAGGAUUUCCCUACAGUAUGUAGCGACUUGACACCCUUAGGCUUUCUAGUUGCAGAAGAGUAUCUAUUUAGUUGGCACCCUCGGCAAUUCUAGUUGGACAAUAUUAUCCAAGUAGUUGACAUGCUCAGCCUCUCUAGUUGCACAAGAAUUCAGAUUAAUCCCAUCUUAAAAAAUUUGAGGAUUGCCCAACGGUAUCUAAUCACUUGGCACCCUCAGGCUUUCUACUUGCAGAAGAUUAUCUAUUUAGUUGGCACCCUCUACAAUUCUAGUUGGACAACAUUAUCCAAGUAGUUGGCAUCCUCAGCCUCUCUAGUUGCACAAAAAUAUCUCAUUAGUUGGCAUCAUCAGCAUUUCUAGUCGCACAAGAAUAUCUCAUUAGUUGUCAUCACCAGCAUUUCUAGUUGCAGAACAAACAGGAUAUCAAGUUGCCAUCCUCAACAUUUUAAUCUAGUUUUCCAGAGAACAAAUAUUUGUAUGUAAUGAUAACUAAUCACCUUUGCCUUUUUUUUGCAAACCCCGAGAUAUUGUUCCAGGAAAUGAGAGUAAUGAAGCAUAUAAUGUUGAACGAUAGUCACAAGCUGGCUACCUGAUGGAGACUACGCUGGAUACCUGAUGUUUGAGUUGGAUAGAAUACAUGUUUUAGUUGGCUAUAAUACAUGGGUACCUGCACACAACCUUGUGUAUGCUUGUUGCACACAUCCAGGGGAAAGUUGGCUAUUUAACCAUGUUUAGUUGCACAGGGAACUACAUCAACCUUUUUUCUACUAUGAUGCAUUUUUUCACCCGUGGAUAUGUUUGUUUGCACACAUCCAUGUGAAAGUUGGUUUGAAACCAUGGUUUUCUUGCACAGGGAACUGAAUUUCUUAUGCUUUUACUUGAUCUUCCUUCUCAAAAUCAUGGAGUUUUUUUUACUUGAUUUGGGAGAUUUAGAGGGAAAGGGCAAGGGAGAUAGUCAACAAGGUUUGCACAUGGGAGAGGAGAAGGAUUUCUUACCUUGGCGUUGCUUGGUAAGCUUCUCUUCUCUUCUUCCUGUUUUUCUGACCAAGAUCUCCUCACCUUGGCUGCUUUGCCAUGGCAGCUCUACAGGAUCUGGUUCAUGGCAUUGGAUCUGGUUUCUUUCAUGGGGAAGAAGCUGACGACCAGCGAGGGAGAGAGGGUGGGUGAGAGGGGCGUGGGGUGCGCUAGUAGUUUGAUGGGUAUCACGUGACAACGAC